GCUACGGGAGGCAGCAGUGAGGAAUAUUGGUCAAUGGGCGCGAGCCUGAACCAGCCAAGUAGCGUGAAGGAUGACUGCCCUAUGGGUUGUAAACUUCUUUUAUAAAGGAAUAAAGUGCGGCACGUGUGCCUUUUUGUAUGUACUUUAUGAAUAAGGAUCGGCUAACUCCGUGCCAGCAGCCGCGGUAAUACGGAGGAUCCGAGCGUUAUCCGGAUUUAUUGGGUUUAAAGGGAGCGUAGAUGGGUUGUUAAGUUAGGUGUGAAAGUUCGCGGCUCAACCGUAGAACUGCAAUUGAUACUGGCAGUCUUGAGUACAGUUGAGGUAGGCGGAAUGCGUGGUGUAGCGGUGAAAUGCUUAGAGAUCACAAAGAACUCCGAUUGCGAAGGCAGCUUACUAAACUGCGACUGACAUUGAUGCUCGAAAGUGUGGGUAUCAAACAGGAUUAGAUACCCUUGUAGUC
rnacentral:rRNA from 1 species